GGUGUUUCAGGCUGGGGUAUAAGCUG
rnacentral:piRNA from 1 species